rnacentral:rRNA from 1 species
GACGAACGCUGGCGGCGUGCCUAAUACAUGCAAGUAGAACGCACAGUUUAUACCGUAGCUUGCUACACCAUAAACUGUGAGUUGUGAACGGGUGAGUAACGCGUAGGUAACCUGCCUGGUAGCGGGGGAUAACUAUUGGAAACGAUAGCUAAUACCGCAUAAUAUUAAUUAUUGCAUGAUAAUUGAUUGAAAGAUGCAAUUGCAUCACUACCAGAUGGACCUGCGUUGUAUUAGCUAGUAGGUGAGGUAACGGCUCACCUAGGCGACGAUACAUAGCCGACCUGAGAGGGUGAUCGGCCACACUGGGACUGAGACACGGCCCAGACUCCUACGGGAGGCAGCAGUAGGGAAUCGUCGGCAAUGGACGAAAGUCUGACCGAGCAACGCCGCGUGAGUGAAGAAGGUUUUCGGAUCGUAAAGCUCUGUUGUAAGAGAAGAACGGGUGUGAGAGUGGAAAGUUCACACUGUGACGGUAUCUUACCAGAAAGGGACGGCUAACUACGUG